AGACCAGAGGAUCUUCAGCCACCAGGGAGUAGAGGAGUAGGAUUGAAGUGGCCCCAAGAAGCCUGAGUUUCCCUGGAGCCAUUUGGCACCGAGGCUCCCAGCAGGAACUUGUACAUUCUUCUGUCCUUCUGUAGCUCAAACCCCAGUGUGACAUGACUUGUCUGCUGAUGUCACUACCGAUCCCUCUGGAUGGUUCCUUCUGUUCACAGUGCCUCACUCAGGGCAAUCAAACUCAGUGCCAUGGCUUCAGUGAGGGCACAAAGCUCUGAUAAGCAAAGGCACGUAUAAGAAAUUUGCAAAUUCUUCUUCCCUGCUCAGGAUGUUGGGAGAAAGGGCAGCAGCUUCCACGCCGGCUGUCCUUACCUGCUCUCCAACUUUAUCUCAUUGUACUUUUCACUAUCAUCCUGGCCUUCCGCCAGUCCCUAGGAAUGCCAGGCUCCCUCCUGCCCAGGAGUCUUUGCUCAGGCCGGUCCUCCUCCUGGUCAAGAAGAGCAAGUGGUCCGAGAUGCCACUGUGAGAGGGGAACACGGAAGCUUUGAUUUGAAGGAAGAGGAGAGAUCGUCCUAGAAAGAAUGUACAGAAGCCCUGGGUCAUUUAAGUCCAGGAGAAAAAUCUCCACAGCUUGGAGGGGAUGGUGACAGCUCUUACUGAUGACAACCAGGGGCUCAGGAAUAGACCUCGAAUGUUCCACAUGGCAGGUGUCAGCUCUUCUGUCAGCCCAUUAGGAAGGAGAGAGAGAGAGAGAGAGAGAGAGAGAGAGAGAGAGAGAGAGAGAGAGACUUCUUGUGGACUUUCUGUUUUGAAUCUUCUGUAUACGGAGAACUCCUCAUGUCAAACUUUAUCAUAUCCCUAGGUUCAUAUUUUCACUCCACUGGUGACAAGUUAAUGCAGGCAGAGCACUAUUCUAGGUAAAAAUUGACUAUGCAGGUGAAAUCCUGCUGACUCCAGUCUCCUGGCCAACAUUUGGAUUUUCUGAGCCUUCAUUAACCCACAAGGUGUCGACAGAGAUUCUAAAGACCUGGUGAAUUUCUUUUUUUUUUCUAAGAAGUGCAGUUUUUCACCCUGAAGAACAAAGUCCAGAAGUUGGAACUGCUUUUGGCCACCAGAUAAUGGUCAAUGAAUACUGAAUUAAUUGACGAAAUACCGAGUUUGUGAAAUAGAGUUUGCAGAGGAAACCAAAUUCUGGAUAGAAUGUAUGGCACCCUGGGUUACUUAAGUCCAGGACAAAACCUCCAAAGCUUUGAUCUUUGUUGGUGUCAGAGAAGGACCUUUACUCCAUCUCCAGAGUUGGAAGAGGCCAUAGCACCUGGCAUCUCAGUAAGUUCCUGCAAGGAACCCUGGACGGUGUGAAGCACACACGGAGGAGGCGCUGGUGCCGGCUCCUCACCCACCCCUUAUGGAGCCAUGCAAUGAUUCCCACAGCAAAUGAUGCACCUCGCCCACCUGUGAGCAGUCAGUCACCUUCAGGAUCCUUCGGGGGCAGUGAGCAAACCCUUAGGUUUGCAUAGCAUCUCUUCUACAACUGCGUGUUUUCCAGGUGGCUGAGGAGCCUCCCUGAACUACCUCACUUCCAUCUCCAGCUCCAACUCCACCCAGCCAGCCCUUUUCACCUCUCCAAACACCUGCUUUUCAGUAAGAAGCCCCACCCCACCCAGAACAUGGAGUUCUUUCCAGUCUGGGAGACGCACCUUGGAGCGAGGGAGGGCUGUCACAUUUGGAAAAGAGGAGGAGGAAGAAGAUGACUAUUUUAUUGUUCCACUCAUGUACUCUGACUCCCACCUUUGUCAAACAGCUGAUGGAGCAGCUUUUGAAAAUAGUGUAAAAUGAAACCUUGCUGCCCUGAUUUGGUCAGCCUUUGUGAACUGUCCCCUGCAACUUGGCCCCUCUCCUUCAACAACACCACACAUUGGCGGGUGGGGGGGGGAGGUGGUGGUGGCAGGCACUAUGCUCGGCUCAGGGGCUGGAGUUCAUGCUUCACUGAGGGCGACAGGGAUGCUUUAGAUGAUAGUGAGUGGUGGAAAUAGUCACUCUCCCUUCUGAGAAUUGGAAACAACAUCCUAGUUAAAACAAUGGUUCUUGGCGUUUACCUGCUUUCCUAAAGAGGUCCCACCUGCCUGUCCUCUUGAGACCUCCUGGGGUGCACAGGAGGAGAGUGGAGAGUGUUCCAUUUCUGUGGACCAAGAAAUCCCAUCAUAUCACACUCCCUGUCCACUGGGAUCCCCAAGAUGACAUCAGUGGGCAGGAUGGCAGGAGAGCUUGCCCUGUAGGACAUUUUUCUUCAAGGAGACAUAGCCUGUGGCUCAACAAAGGCUUCUGGGAGGUCCAAAAGCAAUGGAACCAGUGAUCAUGGACUAAGACCUCUGAAGUCUGGGAGCCCAAAUAAGACUUUCUGCCUUAUAAGUUGAUUCUUUCUAGUAUUUUGUCACAGUAAUGGAAAGCUGACUAACAGGUGGGAUUUAUUACUUUACAUUAUGGUACAAUAGACUUGACCUUCCACCUCUAGAACUUUUUAUCAUCCCACACUGAAACUCCAAACCCAUUAAACAACUCCCUAAUCUCUGUCCCCGAACCCCUGAAAACCACCAUUCUACUUUCCAUUUAUUUGAAUUUGACUAUUCUAGAUAUCUCAUAUAAAUGACAUCAUACAAUAUUUGUUGAUUUAUGACUGGAUUGUCUCCCUUAGCUGAAUGUCUGAGGGGUUCAUCCAUCAGAAUUUCCUUCCUUUUUAAGACUGAAUAACAUCCCGUAUUCUGUUUGUCCACUCAUUUAUUGGUGGCAAUUUUAGUUUCCACCUUUUAGAUGCUGUUAUCCUCUCAAAUUGUUUUUUUUGCCGUUUGUUUUGUACAAUUGUAAUUAUCUCAAAAUUAAACGUUUAAAAAUAUAACUAAAAGUAAGAUUUAUCAACAGACUUUUUCCUCUGCUGACCAUAUAAACCAGUCUUCAUGGUUUAUCAUCGUCCCAUUUCCCAUCCAGAGAUAAUGUAACCUUUGGAAGGCCCUACAGAACCUGAUUUUCCCCUUCUGCAUUUGAGAAGCAACAUGUAUAACAAUCCACAGGAGGGUAGAGGGGCUUUAGUAAAGUUUGAUUACGCUGGCCUGUCACCUUGUUUGGAUUAGACCAAGAGAGAGGAGAGGAAAUCCAGACCCUGUUGAAAGUGACAAGAGAUUUCCAUAGUCAAUGAUGUUUACGUUGAGCCAGUUUCUGAUUAUAAAGAAAAUGAGAACUUCUAAUACAACCCGAUAGAAAUAAUUAGCUGGAGGGUGGAGCCUUGGUUUUGAAGGAUUCCUUUGCACUGCAAAUGUCUUUCCCCUAGGCAUUUUGACCAGGCAUCCCUUGGACCAUCUGUGGAAUGAUCUCAUGACCCCGGAGCGCAUUCUCGCACAGCACAGACAGACUUCACAUAGGCCACCUACACUGCCUGGAGUCGGCAAGGGGACCUUCUCCCAGAAGCUACUUCGGGGUGGGCCUGUAGGUGGCCGGGAGGGUCAGGUCUCAUAAGACAGAGCAGAGGCUCAGCAGAGCGGAAGCGUGCUGUGGCUGACGCCAUUGUCACCUUCCCAAACUCGUUUCGGAAAGGCAUCACGUUGCAGAGGUGGUGCUAACAGAGGUGACACAGUCCCAGCUGCGGAAACACCAUCAGAUGAACACAAGGUUUUUUUUGUUUUUGUUCUUUUACGGAGGUCUAGGGACUUAGUGAACUUCCUAACACCGGAUGCAAAACGGUCUUUUUGUGCAUUUUAUUCUGGGGGGAAAAAAACACAUUUCCUCAAAUAUGUCAGGUCCAUGACUCCCCAGCAUCCAGAAACUUCUGUUACUACCUGGCUCCCGGGAGACCUCUCCUCAGCAACUGACUAAACCACCUUCCCACCAAGGUGACCUUGGGCAGGAGACACCCCCACAGCCCUCUGGCCUGUUUGAUGCAGCCCCGUUGGGGCGAGUGUGGCCACCCUCCCCACCUCUCUGCCCUCCCCUUGUUCUUUC